GGAUUGUAGCUCAGUGGUAGAGCACUUGCCUAGCAUGUGUGAGGCACUGGGUUCAAUCCUCAGCACCA
rnacentral:tRNA from 1 species